UACGGAGGAUGCAAGCGUUAUCCGGAUCUAUUGGGUUUAAAGGGUGCGCAGGUUGUUUGAUAAGUCAGUGGUGAAAGUCUGUCGCUUAACGGUAGGAUUGCCAUUGAUACUGUUAGACUUGAAUAUGGAUGAGGUAGGCGGAAUGUGUAGUGUAGCGGUGAAAUGCAUAGAUAUUACACAGAACACCGAUUGCGAAGGCAGCUUACUAAUCCAUCAUUGACGCUGAGGCACGAAAGCGUGGGGAUCAAA
rnacentral:rRNA from 1 species